UACGAAGGUCCCAAGCGUUAUCCGGAUUUAUUGGGUUUAAAGGGUGCGUAGGCGGGUUAUUAAGUCAGUGGUGAAAGCCUUCAGCUUAACUGAAGAACUGCCAUUGAUACUGAUGAUCUUGAGUAUGAUUGAGGUGGGCGGAAUGUGUCAUGUAGCGGUGAAAUGCAUAGAUAUGACUUAGAACACCAAUUGCGAAGGCAGCUUGCUAAACAAAUAUUGACGCUGAGGCACGAAAGCGUGGGGAUCAAACAGG
rnacentral:rRNA from 1 species